rnacentral:ribozyme from 1 species
UGCCCAGCAACUCCUUUCCUUACCUCCUCGUGGUACCGGCCGGAAACUAUGAGCAACCUUAGGGAAGAUCGAGUAACCAACCCCGGUGGGAACUUUGGUCGUAGGCUGACAGGAAAGG